ensembl:rRNA 5S_rRNA 5S ribosomal RNA
UCUACAGCCAUACCACCCUGAACACAGCCGAUCUCGUCUGAUCUUGGAAGCUAAGCAGGGUCGGGCCUGGUUAGUACUUGGAUGAAUUAUACUAUUCCAGGCUCUCCUCACCUUGAGAGUUUGUGUGGAAAGAU